UAAAUAGGGUAGGAACUAAACCAACAAACUGGGUCGGAAGCUCUAGCGACCACUACGAACGUGUCUCACGUCUCGUCUCAACUCUCACCGCCCGCGAUACCUGAAAAAUGGUGGGGGAGGUGAGAACAUGUAAACAUGUCUCCCCUCCCAGUGCGUACCUCAAGCUGAUGAAGGCGAGGAGUACUCACCGGAUCAGGAAGGGCUAAACAACAGUACGGGUCAGUGGAAAAAUACAGUAGCAAUAAUAAUGAAUGAAAGAGACAUAUAUAUAAAAGAAAGUACAACUACGCUACUGUAAUGAACAACUGAAUGUAUACAUGUAACAAGACUAUAGUAGCAAGACAAUGUAACGAAAGAACUGAAGGUAUACAAGCGACAACCGCUACUAUAGCUAUAUGCGUCAACCGGACAAGAAGUCCAAAUAUACCCAAUCUGGUACCUGCUAUAUUGGUCCGCAGACCUCAAGCGCUGCCUGUCACUAACCUGCACCGACCUGAUUCACCCGCCCCACAGGACGACCCAUCCGGAUAAGUACACCUCCGGUCGGUGGCCAAACCGACCCGGUGUCGUGAAUACCCCCAAGUGCUGUGACUAAGUCAUGCUGGUAUGCUCAAUACAAAACCGACUGAAGUCGGUGCCUAGGCCGAAGCCAGAAACAAGGGCGUACAACGCCAAACCACGAUCAACCAGAUCGAAACACAUGACAAGAGAGUCGAUGUGUUGCCUGGACCCAAGGUCCACAGAGUCCAACUGACCAACAAGGUCCCUGAUACGAAAUACGAGAACCGACCAAUCAGGUCAACAGAUACGGAAUGCACAACCAAGAUCAACAGAUACUGAAUGCAACAACAGACCAACUAGAUCAGCAGAUACUGAAUGAAACAACAGACCAACUAGGUCAACAGAUAUGCAUGUAGGUAGAACUGCACUACUCCUACUCAGGAUACUAAGCAUGCAAAUAAUGAGUAGAGUAUAACGAAUAAACAAGGGUGCAAUGCUCAAAAUACUAUGCGAUAGUAACAACAGAAGAGUAAGGGUAAGAAACCAUCACCAAGCGUGCACUGCUGUACCGACGUCGGAUCGAAGUACCCACCUGUAAGGGUGUCGCGUCUGUCUCCUGACUGCAAAAGAAUGUCGACAGGACCUAUAGAGGGUCCACCGGGUUAGUAUCUAACCCACAACUAAUAACCACAGUAUCCACAACCCCACAAACAAUUUCACGAAGAUCGGUUUCCCAAUACCGAUUACCGUAACUCGCCGGAAGUCCCGAAAACCACACCGGGACGCCGUCGGGACCCACUAAGUGUCCCGAAACUCACCGACUCGUGUCAUGAGUCACCUGCUGCCCCAAAACACUCCAAUUUGGAUGUUUUGGCAACAAACACAAGGUAACACAACCCAACAAUUAUCGUCGGAUAAUUGUUCGGAUCCGGGUUCCCGGAAGUGUCUAUUUUGACACCGGAACCCACCGUCGCUCACCCGUCAUCAUCGAAUCCACAAAAUGAUGAUAGUGACCAGCCAACAAGGCUCAGCGACAAAUUAUAGGAUAACCAAACCACGUCGGAAGAAAUCCGAACCGAAACCGCGUUCUUUCGGCGAAUUUUGCCGAAAAACGCGCCGGAAUCGACUUUUUGAUUUCCGCAAAAGCUAACGGAUCAUGAACAAUUAGUCCAAGGGUCACCACACACACCUAUACACUGUCCACAGUAGCCGCAAGGCACACAAUUGCACAAAAGCCCCUAUAUUUACAUAAAAUCCCAAUAUUUUAUGUAAAUCGGGCGAUAACAUGGCUCGUUCAUGCAAACUGAGGACUUCCAAGGUCCGCCGAGUCACGUACUGACAAGUCUCGACGUACCGGAGACCGUGCUCAUGAUCUGGAGCACAAUGGCUCACUGUGGGAAGCGCGGGAGCAACUCGAAGGUCUAGCGAACUGCGCGCAGUCGGGGAAAAUCGCGCCGGACAGGCCGAUACGACAUCCGCUGAUCUAAAGUAAGGUGAGCACUAUGAUUAGAACUGACCAACGAUCACCGUGCUCACCUCCAGAGGCACCGGAACAGCCUUGGAUCUCCGGAUAAGCGUGCGCAAACCCAAAACAGCAGCCAAAAAGGCUCGACAGGGUCGACACCGCCGAAACAGAGGAACAGAGUCUCCCCGACAGAAACUAAGGUGAGCACGAUGAUCAGCAAUUUUCUACGAUCAUCGUGCUCCCUUCCGCAGAGAUUGGGGAGGCUCGGGUUGCCCGGAACAGUAAACCAUCCAAACUAAGCCCUAUUUCGGGCUUGGCCGGAGCAAGCUUGCUCCGGCCGGCUUCCGGCGGCACAGAGGCACGCGCGGCGGCUAGGGAUGGGUGCGAGGUAGGUGAGGAACACGAUGCUCACCUCAGUUUGCGGCGGGGAGCGGUGGCGACGACGGUGGAGCAAGCUAUGCCCGCACGGGCUGAGCUCGGGUUCCAGGGGCUGCUGCGGCCACGGCGGCGACGACAGUCAACAGGAACGACGGCGACGGCGAGCGGGGGUCGCUGGGACUCCGGGGGAGGCGGCGCAGCCGACUCAAGGCGGUGGCGAAGCGCAGGGAGGGGCUGCACACAGGUUUCGGCUUGGCUCGGGCUGGAGGGCUGCAGGCAGCAGGAGCGGCGGCGGCGGCGCUCUGGGCGCCUCGGGGAGGCCGCGGCCGGCAGCCAGAAGUCGGGGAGGUGCCCCGGGAAUGGCCCAGGGCGGCAGCAGUACGAGAAGAGGGAGUUGCAGCUGCCUCGGCCUAGGUUCGGCCCAGGUUGGCAGCAGCGUGCUCAGGCGGCAGCGGCGGCGUGUGGAGGCGGCGGCGGUCGGUGGGGAGGCUCGCCAGGGCAUAGGGAUGACGCCGGCAAGGUACCAGGAGGCAAAGCGACCUCGGCCUGGGUUCAAACCCGAGAAGAAAAGAGAGAAAGAGAUGGAGAGGAAGGAAUGUGGUGCGGCGGCGGCGGCUGGCCUGCCGGACUCGGUCGGCGGCGGCCGGAGGGUGAGCGGCUAGGGCAGGGGAAGCAAAGGGGGGCGGCUAGGGUCAGCUGGGUGGCUAGGGUUAGGUUAAGCUCGAGGAAAACCCUAGAACCUUAAAUAUAUAUAUAUUCCGAUUUGCAUGAAAGCCCUUCAAAACCUCAGUAUUUCAAACUGAAUCCCUCACAGCACGUGAACAAUGCGAGAAUACCCCCCCAUGUGCGAUCUCGCGUAAAAGGUACAUAAAAUGUCGCAUCUUUUGCGAAAUUACCAUUUUGCCAACACCGACCUCUCCUCGGUCAACGUGCGAUCUCCGCAGAUCCGUCCGUCAGAUUUGCGAACGGAUUGUACCAGCGGGAUCAGCACCUCGGAGACAACAAAGCUACGAUUUUGGUUCACCUCGAUCGACCACGGAUUCGCGACGAAAUCCAUUCUCUCACCAUAAGGCCAAAAUGACGCACAAUUACAUAAGAAACAUGUAUUUUUGGAUUUUCUCGAAAUCCGUGCGACAAACUCAAAAUCCGUCAGUGCCACUAGUUCCAGAAUAACUGAACCGGUCGAAAUGAGCUAUUGGACUGCUAUGUUCGGAGUCCAAUACGCGCCAGAAGCCAACACUACUCCGCGGCUUCUCCGGAAAACCGAAGUUACUAUUCACUUAAGUGAAAACUAAAAAUCGCGUAUCUUCUCCAUUUUAGCUCAUUUUCUCCUGAAACUUGACGAGUGCUUAUGUAAUUAAAUUACACACAUAAACAUCGUCAACAGAGAGUUUAGUUGCACUGUCAAAAUCUCAGUCCUUACAGUCUGUUGACGAGUGCUUAUGUAAUUAAAUUACACACAUAAACAUCGUCAACAGAGAGUUUAGUUGCACUGUCAAAAUCUCAGUCCUUACACUUGGUCGGAAGCUCUAUCGACCGCUACGAACGUGUCUCACAUCUCGUCUCGACUCUCACCGCCCACAAUACCUGAAAAAUGGUGGGGGAGGUGAGAACAUGUAAACAUGUCUCUCCUCCCAGUGGGUACCGCAAGCCGAUGAAGGCGAGGAGUACUCACCGGAUCAGGAAGAGCUAAACAACAAUACAGGUCAGUAGAAAAUACAGUAGCAAUAAUAAUGAAUAAAAGAGACAUAUAUAUAAAAGAAAGUACAACUACCGCUACUGUAAUGAACAACUGAAUGUAUACAUGUAACAAGACUAUAGUAGCUAGAUAAUGCAACGAAAGAACUGAAGAUAUACAAGCGACAACCGCUACUAUAGUUAUAUGCGUCAACCAAACGAUAAUUCCAAAUAUACCCAAUCUGAUGCUGCUAUAUUGGUCCGCAGACCUCAAGCGUUGCCUGUCACAGAGCAGACACUGAGAGCUUAUUCAUGCGUCACCGACGAUGUAAGGAAGUGAAUUCUCGAAAUGCGAGGAUUAGACUUCGAUGAGAAUCGACUAGUUGUCGAUUGUGUAAGCUUCGGAAGGUCCGAAGGUGAUUAUAAUGCAUAAAGUGCGUUGAAGAAGGGUCCGCGAGAGCACCAGUGCAAAAUCUGCACUGGAGCAGAAAUGCUCUCGGGGACCGGUCCCUGGCAGGGAGGGACCGGUCCCAUCAGGCUGGGCUGCAGGGGUCUUUGAUGAGACCGGUCCCUGGCAGUGAGGGACCGGUUCCCGAACGUUGGCCCAGCGAGACUAGCCGAAAUUUGGCUAAGUCCCGAGAAUGCAGCUCUCGGGAACCGGUCUCUCGGUCAAGGACCGGUCUCCCGGGAACCGGUCUCUCAGGCAAGGACCGGUUCCCGAAAGCGAAAUUCUUCUGCCCGAGAUGGAAAGCUCUCGGGGACCGAUCUCCCCGAGCUGGGACCGGUCCCUCACUGCGAAAAUGCCCAGAGAGGGCUGAUUUGAAGGAUGAAAAGUUGAGGGGGCUAUAUGCAAAAUAGCCUUUAUUAGAGGUUGGGGGACCUCCCUCUCCCUCUCAUUUGCUCCCUCUCCCUCUCAUUUGCUCCCUCUCUCCUUCAAGCUAGGGCAAGCUUGGAGCUUGGCUUAGAGGUAAGCUCCAAACCCAUCCAUGGUAGAUUUCCUAGGAUUGGGUUUUAUUGUUUAGGAUUGGUUCAAAUGGAACCUAGAGAAGAUAAGGAGAUGGUUCGGGCUCGUAAUCGAAGCUCACACCAUGGAUUUCUUCCCCAUUGCCAUUCUAGGGCACGGAUUUGGGGAUUUUGGAAAUCUAGGGUUUUGAUCUAAUCUAAUAGGUCGCAAACCUAAUUGUUAGGUCUCGGAACGCGUCGGCGAAGUCGGUUUCUCGAUCCGACGAGCGGGUGCGGAGAAAUCGCCGAAUCGGGUACUUGAGGGCUCGCUUCGUCCCGAGGAGUUAGGGCGACGUGCAAGAACCGCAACGUCAAGUUUUCUAUCAUCACGGCAUCACCAAGAGGUGGGUGGUGACCAUCCCGAAGCAGUCGGGCCCCCUUCUAUGUCUUAGCACAUUUUGGAUUCUUGCAUCUUGUAUUAUUGCAUUAUAGGAUGAUUGUGCAUUGCCUUUCCUUAUGUUUUUCUUGAUGAUAUCGUAGCACGUACUGGAUACUUGAUGUAGUGGAUUGAUAAGGAUUGGGUCGAGACUCGUGAAUCCUAUAGUGCAGAGAAAGAGAUGGAUUCAAUGGUUGGUUUGAUAUUAAACAAAAGAACGAGUGGCAACUAGUUGAUAGUAAACAAUGAACGAGUGGCAUUCAGUUGAUAGUAAACAAAAGAACAAUGACACAUAUGAGUCGUAGUGUAUGUGAAACCUAUGGACUAUAUGAUGAUUGUAACCCUAGAGGAUAGGGUAUUCUCGAGACGAGGAUUGGAUCAUGCUCACGAUCUGUUUUUAAAUCUUGUGAUGGAAGCCCCACACGAGUAGUGCGCUCCGGAGUUGGUCACGUGGGAUUGCCUAUUUUGGGUCCCAAGGGAUUGCCUAUUUUGGGUCCCGGCAGACGGUCUCGGUUCGUAGUGUGAGUUGACCCUCCCUACCUUCGAGAUGGCUAGUGAGCAGUAGACGAGCUUUCAGAGAAGCCACGAGAUUAAGAAACAAGUAAAUGAGAUUGAUGACCAAGUACAUAGCUUUACCUUUUUGACAUGACGACAGGUUAGCUGCUUACCAUUUCAUUGGACAUGCAUUCAUAUAUCUAUGAUUGGGCAUAGUAGUGUAGCUUUACUCUCCUGUCUUUACAGCUUUUCUUAUUAUCUAUAUAUGCCGGUAUAUCUACUUUUGCCCACUUGGACCUAGUGGGGAGAUCGGCAGAGUCGACGGCCGAACCCACUGGGAACUAUGGAAGAUAGUUCUCACCCCACUUUUACAGGUUCGAGUUCGGGGGUCCCUGGCGAGCGUGAGGAUCGCGGUAAGGGCCUGGCGCCCUAGUUGCAUUAGCUGUCUAAAUUUUUUGCUUUAGCUUCACCCUGUUUUUAUGUUUGAGAGUAAAUAUUGUAUAGGGUGAGGUGUGAGUGUUGUAUAUAUGUUUUGGGAAUGUUGUAAAGAAUGGAAUUAAAUGUAUUAAGGUGAAUGAAUGAAUGUAAUAGAUAGAGUUUUCUCUCUUUACCUACUUGUAUGCCUUAUACUUGUAUCUUGCUCCUUGUUGUCGGCACUAGUAGUGCUCUUUGAGAUCGUGUAUUUAUGAAUUGAUUUCUGGGCGAAUUCCUUAUACAUGAUCUAUUGGUUAGCCUUGGACGGACAGGGGAGGUCCUGCCCGUUCAGCGUCUGUUCGACACGCCCGGGCCGAGCCAAAUUGGUAGCGGUCUCGGGGCGUGACAGAUAAAGUGGUAUCAGAGCCUUGGAGCAAGUAAAGAGAGAGUUUAGGAUGACCGAGGAGACCCUAGGUUGGUAAACCCUAAGGUUAUGGGGACGUGAGUGAACGUGAACCCAUGGCGGUGGCGGAAGUUGAUCGAUUGGGUCGAAGUUGAUGUCAUGUCUCUAGCUGGGAAUAGAGACGGAUCCGAGUGACACUAGUUCUUGGCUCGUAGUGGUUGUGUCGGCGGCCAAUGACAUGACGCUAAGAGUCCAGCACUAGAGCGCUUGCGAGCUUCCGCCCGAUUUCAUUGUCGAGUCGUCCAAUUUUGUGAACGCUAGGAGGUUAUCGGAUUAAGAUAACUAACGAGUUGUUGCUUUUCAGGAGCCAAUGUCCCCAAGACGUUAUGCACGUAGGUCUGUUCCGGUGCCGCCUCCCCCGGUGCCCGAACAGCCAAGAUCGGAGGAGGUGCAGGAGCUGCGGGAGCAGGUCGCGGCGAUGAUGGGCGCGAUGCAGCGCCAGGAGGCCCGGUUUGAGCAGCUCCAGGGAUUCGUGGAGCGGCAAGCGGCGGCGGCGGCCGCGACAGCGACUGGAAGCCGUGAUCCACCCGCACCCCCGGCGCGCACGCCUGAAGCGGCUGAGGGUGAGGGCAUAGCGGCGGUUCCGGUGGCGGCAGUUCCCACGCCGGCGAGUGCACCCCCGACCGCUUCGGGUUCGGCGACACUUGAUACGACAGCUGACGAAGUGGAGCGGGAGCGUGCGCUGACGGCUUUGAUGAAGUUCAUAAAGUUUAAGCCACCAACCUUUGAAGGGGGGAAAGUGGAGCCGUCGGUGGUGGAGUCUUGGGUAGACUCUAUGGAGACUCUCUUCGAGGACCUAUACACCCUGGAGAAGGAUAAGGUGCCUUUCGCCACCCAUUGCCUCGACAAGGCGGUGAAGGUGUGGUGGAAGCGAUUGAAGCGUGAUCAGCCCUCUGAUCUUCCACCAAUGCUCUGGGAGGAGUUUAAGAGGGAAAUGUUCGGAAAUUACUUUCCCGACACCGAGAAAUGUAAGUUGAAGGAGAGAUUUCGCAAGUUGAGGCAGGGGGAUCGUUCUGUGGCGGACUACGAGCAGGAGUUCUCCCACAUUAUAGACUGUGUCCCGGACGUCGUUAAGGAUGACACGGGUCGAGCCGAAUGGUUCUCGCGGGGACUUCGACCGUGGAUAUAUAGAGCGGUGCAGCUGUUCAAGCUCACGACUUUCGCCGAAGUUUUUGAUAGGGCGCUGUGGGCAGAGCAUGGAGAUGCCCACGUGCGGAAGGAGCGUGAGUUGUUGACGGGACCCCAAGAUAAAGGGAGAAAGCGACCGGGCGGUAGUUCGGGGGGCCAAUCGAGAUCCAAGAGACCCCCGAAGUAUCCGCGGUCGCAGUCGUGGGGCCGUGGGCCGCAGCGGUGCCCUAUCUGUGGAGAUCGAGGCCAUCGGGCACCGCAGUGUAGACAACAACAGGGAAGGUGCUUUAAUUGUGGACAAGAAGGACACAUCAGCCGCGACUGUCCGGCAAGGGCCUCGUCUACUCCGUCAGUCGCAUCGACUCCAGCGCCCCCGCCUUAUCAGGGAGGGGCCCCAUAUGUCCCCGUGUCAGCAGGGCGCGCACUGGCGCCGCGCCAACCGGAGGUGACUCGAUCAACGCCGAGCGGACGGGUGUUCGCCGCUCAUGCCCAAGCCGAGGAGCCUACCGAAGUAGAGGAGACUGAUGUUGUGGCAGGUAUGGUUCUAAUUAAUAGAGUUUGCUCCAGGGCUAUGUUCGAUACGGGUGCCACGCACUCAUUUAUUAGUAGAGCAUUUGCAUGCAUGCAUGACAUACCCAUAGAGGCGAGUGGCAAGUGGCGAGUCGAAGGUCCUUAGUCGUUAUUUAAUACAUAUACGGAGUGCUCGUCGUGCCCCGUACAAGUGGGUGACUGGAUAAUGCCCAUCCGGAUGUUAGAACUUACUAAACUAGAGGCGUACAACGUCAUUUUGGGCAUGGACUAGCUCUCGAAGUAUUACGCUACGAUCGAUUGUAAGAAUAAAUUGAUCACCUUUCGGGAGCCCGGACAGAGGGAGUUGGUUUACCAAGCCUGUCGGAGUUCUUGCUUCGUCGCGACAGUAUCGGCGACGAGAGCUAGGAAGUUGGUCAACGGCGGUUGCGCGGCAUUCUUAGCGACCGUCGUGGAGGUGGAUCGAGUGGUGCCGAGAUUAGAAAAUUUAUCGGUGGUGCGGGAAUUCCCAGAUGUGUUUCCCUCGGAGUUAUCGGGGAUGCCGCCGGAUCGGGAGAUCGAGUUUAUUAUAGACUUGAUUCCCGGGACGGCGCCGAUCUCGAAGGCCCCAUACCGAAUGGCGCCGGCGGAGCUGAGAGAACUGAGGGAUCAGUUGCAAGAUCUCCUCGACAAGGGGUUUAUCAGGCCGAGCGUAUCGCCGUGGGGAGCGCCGGUGUUGUUCGUGCGCAAGAAGGAUGGCUCGUUUCGACUUUGCGUGGAUUACCGAGAGUUGAAUAGGGUCACAAUAAAGAAUAAGUAUCCGUUGCCCCGAAUCGACGACCUGUUUGAUCAAUUACAGGGGUCGCGAGUGUACUCGAAGAUAGACCUGCAAUCCGGCUAUCAUCAGUUGAAAAUUAAGUCGGAGGAUGUUCAAAAGACUGCGUUUCGCACACGUUAUGGACACUAUGAGUACACGGUUAUGCCUUUCGGGCUCACUAAUGCCCCGGCAGCGUUCAUGGACCUGAUGAACCGUGUGUUCAAAGCGUGCUUGGACCGAUUUGUCGUGGUCUUCAUAGACGACAUCUUGGUCUAUUCGCGGAGCGACGAGGAGCACGCGGAGCAUUUGCGGACGGUGCUUCAAAUCCUUCGGGAGGAGAAGCUAUUCGCAAGCUGAAGAAGUGCGAUUUCUGGCUUCGAGAGGUUGUCUUCUUAGGGCAUGUGAUUUUCGAGGGCGGUGUUUCGGUUGACCCGAGAAAAAUCGAAGCGGUCGAAAAUUGGCCACGCCCGACGAAUGUCACGGAGGUCCGGAGCUUCAUAGGCUUAGCGGGCUACUAUCGACGGUUUGUGGAGGGCUUUUCGAAGAUUGUGACUCCGCUUACCGGUCUGACACAGAAGGGCAUCAAGUUUAUUUGGAACGACGAAUGUGAUCGAAGCUUCAACGAGUUGAAGAAAAGAUUAACGUCGGCUCCAAUACUCGCCUUACCGGUGCAGGGGCGAGGACUUUGCACUCUAUAGCGAUGCAUCCUAUCUGGGCUUGGGGUGUACCCUGAUGUAAGGCGGGAGGGUGAUAGCUUAUGCAUCCCGUCAGCUAAAAGACCACGAGAAGAAUUACCCCAUACAUGACUUAGAGUUGGCGGCGGUGAUCUUCGCGCUGAAAUUGUGGAGGCACUACCUGUAUGGUGUACACUGCGAGAUCUACACCGACCACAAGAGUCUGAAAUAUCUAUUCACCCAGAAGGAGCUGAAUAUGCGGCAGAGGCGGUGGCUAGAGCUAUUGAAGGACUACGAUGUCGACAUUCUCUACCACCCCGGCAAAGCAAAUGUGGUCGCGGAUGCGCUUAGUAGGAAGUCGGCGAAGAACCUCGCUUUUGAUGUCACCCAGCAGACACCCCUAUGGCUGGAUAUGGAGCGACUGGACCUUGAAGUGGUUGCUCCUGAGGUCCCGACCCAGUUGAUGGCGCUCGUUGUUCAACCGACCUUUUUGGAGAGAAUCAAGAGAUUACAACCUACAGAUCCGAGUCUCCAAACGGUGCGGCGCAACAUCGAGGAAGGUCGAGGCGGCGAUUUUAGUGUGGACGCCGGUGGCGCGCUCCGGUUUCGAAACCGGUGGUGCGUGCCUGAGAGUGAAGAUCUUCACGAGCUGAUUCUGCAAGAAGCUCACCGGUCUCCAUACGCUGAUCACCCGGGCGGCACCAAAAUGUAUCAAGAGUUGAGAACACUUUAUUGGUGGCCGGGGAUGAAAGUUGAUAUUGGGCGCUUCGUGGCGAAGUGUUUGACCUGUCAGCAGGUGAAAGCGGAGCGCCGGUUUCCAGCGGGAAAGCUUCAAAGUCUACCUAUCCCUGUCUGGAAAUGGGAUGAUAUAUCUAUGGAUUUCAUCAUUGGUUUACCCCGUUCGACAGGGGGCCACGACGCAAUCUGGGUGAUUGUGGAUCGCUUGACAAAGUCAGCGCACUUUUUGCCGGUCCACACCACCUGGGCGGGGGAUAAGUUGGCGCAGGUAUAUCUUGACGAAGUAGUAAGGCUGCACGGGGCACCGAAGUCAAUUGUAUCGGAUAGAGACCCCAAGUUCACUUCACGUUUCUGGAAAAGCCUGCAGGAGGCCCUUGGCACACGGCUUGAUUUUAGCACUGCAUUCCAUCACCAGACGGACGGGCAAACCGAGAGGACUAUUCAGACUCUGGAGGAUAUGUUGCGAGCGUGUGUCAUCGACUACAAGGGAGGCUGGUGUAAGUAUUUACCAAUGGCCGAGUUCGCCUACAACAACAGUUAUCAUUCUAGUGUGGAGAUGGCACCAUUCGAGGCUCUUUAUGGGCGGAAGUGCGGAUCUCCCAUUUAUUGGAGUGAUGUGGGCAAGCGCACAGAGUUCGGCCCCGAUGUGUUGCGGGAGGCGGAAGAGAAGGUCCGCCUUGCUCGCAAGAGGUUACUCACAGCGCAAUCGCGACAACAGAGCUAUGCGGAUAGGCGCCGGCGAGAUUUAGAGUUCGCGGUGGGUGACCGCGUUUUUUUGAAGGUCUCGCCUAUGAGGGGUGUAAGGCGAUUUGGCGUUCAGGGCAAGCUAAGUCCCCGAUACAUUGGCCCCUACGAGAUCUUGGAGCGGAUUGGGACGGUGGCUUAUCGACUCGCGUUGCCACCAAAGCUCGCGGAUGUGCACAAUGUAUUCCACGUCUCCAAUCUCCGCAAAUAUAUAUCCGAUCCCGAGCACGCAAUGUUGUAUGAACCGCCGGAGCUUCAGAAAGAUCUAAGUUACGAGGAGUUUCUGGUGGCAAUUACCGCUCGUGAAGUGCGCAAGUUAAGGAAUCAAGAAAUUCCUUAUGUUCGAGUCCGGUGGAGCAAUCACGACGAUCGCGAAGCCACCUGGGAGCUCGAGGAAGAGAUGAAAGCGAAUCACCCUCGCCUGUUUGAGGAGUGAAUCAAGGUAUGAGUUUAGAGAUUAAAGUUCUAAAUAAGUUCGAAAGUAUUGAGUUCGUUUCGAGGACGAAACUCUUUUAAGGUGGGGAGGAUGUAAGGAAGUGAAUUCUCGAAAUGCGAGGAUUAGACUUCGAUGAGAAUCGACUAGUUGUCGAUUGUGUAAGCUUCGGAAGGUCCGAAGGUGAUUAUAAUGCAUAAAGUGCGUUGAAGAAGGGUCCGCGAGAGCACCAGUGCAAAAUCUGCACUGGAGCAGAAAUGCUCUCGGGGACCGGUCCCUGGCAGGGAGGGACCGGUCCCAUCAGGCUGGGCUGCGGGGGUCUCUGAUGAGACCGGUCCCUGGCAGUGAGGGACUGGUUCCCGAACGUUGGCCCAGCGAAACUAGCCGAAAUUUGGCUAAGUCCCGAGAAUGCAGCUCUCGGGAACCGGUCUCUCGGUCAAGGACCGGUCUCCCGGGGACCGGUCUCUUAGGCAAGGACCGGUUCCCGAACGCGAAAUUCUUCUGCCCGAGAUGGAAAGUUCUCGGGGACCGGUCUCCCCGAGCUGGGACCAGUCCCUCACUGCGAAAAUGCCCAGAGAGGGCUGAUUUGAAGGAUGAAAAGUUGAGGGGGCUAUCUGUAAAAUAGCCUUUAUUAGAGGUUGGGGGACCUCCUUCUCCCUCUCAUUUGCUCCC
rnacentral:lncRNA from 1 species